rnacentral:ncRNA from 1 species
AAACCUGUGUGAAAAAGAUAAAUUUUCCUAGAAACCUGUGUUUCUUCGUCAAGUUAUCUAUUUUCACUUUGGCUUU